GCCUUUAGUGUGGACUCGCUUUGAUUUCAUGUGAGCAGUUAGUCUCUAUACCUCUCGUUGAAAUUGUACCACUGUUUUUAUUCUUGAACUGCAGACUAGCUACUGAAUCAUCACCUCCUCGCCUGUUCUCAAUCAGCACUCAUCACUGCCUGCAUUUAAGCCUACCAGAUCCAGGAAUCCAGCGCAAGAGUAUUCGCUCUCAUACGUGUGUCCUCCCGUGUCUCCCGCUCCGCUGCACGCGUCCCAACCACGUCGUCAAGCUCUCCCACCUGCUCCCGCCUUCUGCACGCUCCUUGUUCCUUCGGACCACCAUCACGCCUUGGAAAUAGAGACCCUGCGCUAUCUCCAAAUAAGCCCUUAUCAACUACUUCUUCCGCCUCCGUCUGCUCGUGGGUCCAGUCCAAAACCGUUCGAUUACUAAUCGUGACACGGCUGUCUCUAAACGACCACCUAUUUUCACCUUCAACUCUUAUUUCAUUGUUAGUCCCUUUCUCCUCACAAUCCACAUGACAAGCAAACUGUUAAAAGGAAACUUUAAUCCCUGGUUAUCGAUACUAGACGUGGAACUAGAUGUCAUAUGUUGUGAUUCUGCUAUGCUUGAGGGUGCCCAGCACAGAGAGGUGGAUAGCCAUCCUGCUGGGGGAAACUCUGUGACAGAGAUGUGGUAAAUGGGCAGUUAAAAGCACAAUUCACACUUCCUUGUGAUGAUCCCCUCUCUUCGUCUUGCUCUGUGUCAAAGGAGGCCGAACAUCUUCUAGGGGUGCCUGGUAUGAUCGGUAGACAGUUUAAAUUUGGCCAAAUGUGUGGAUUUGGACUUUACCGAGUAAUCGCGAUAACUCUUAUUGAUGAUGUAAUUAUUUCUGUCUCAGUAUCAAAAAUGGCUUAAGCACAUCUGAUCACAGAGCUUCCAAUUAAGCUAUCUAUUAAUAAUUACUUGGGUUGCGCUUUUGACAGAACUGUGGCUGUAGUUUCUAGAGAGAAAAUAAUAUAGGAGAGUGCGCCGAACAAGAACGUGACAUAAUUUUGUGCAUGCACAUGAAAUUGGUACUAGAAACAAUAGCCGGGAAGGACGCAUCUUCGUGCCAAAGCUCGAAUAUGUGGGGGUCCACUGUAUUGUUAAAAUUUAGUUUCAUGUUUUAUACUGAAUGGUGCACAUUUUUUGUCAUUUGAGCAAUUUACAAUAUUGGCUUGCCUCUGUGGUUUGACUGCGGCAUGGAAACCGGCAUCCGCACUUACUCCUACACACUUUAAAGUGCUACAUUAAAUGUGUUUUUUUAACAAUUACUGUUGUUUUCUAUAUGUGACCUGAGCAACAAGUAUCAUGGAGUUGACCAGCAAAAAUAGG